CACCUCUCGUCCACAAACGUCCCUUCUCCUCUUUUCGCACGAGUUCGUCCUAUCCUUGUCGCUCUCAAUCCUCUCUUCCUACCUUUGCGUCUUCGCACCUCCUUCUUUCGUCUUACCGCCGUUUAACCCUAUCCCUACCCAUUCUUCCUGGUUUCAAGCAUCAGCGCAUCAAACGUUCAAUUUCCGCUUCUGAGCUUUACGCGAGCGUGCAAGUCGAAUAUUUAAUUUCCUCUUUAAUUUUGAAUAAUUUCACUGGCAGAUCACACACCAUCAUCCGGAGAAAACAGAGCAACCGAUUGCGAGCCAACAGAAAAUCGUACGACCGGCCAGAGGUUCGCACACGGCACAUGUGACCUGCUUCGAGCGUAAAACAUUAAAAUACAAGUCGGAUUCUCUUCGACAAGGAAAAAAGAGGAGGCCUCUUCAGUUUAGGUUACACAUAAGCGUAGAACGACGAAAUACAAAUUCCUGGACAAAACUCACGGUUUUCGUGCCAACUGUUACAUUAAUUCCCGCCCACGUCGUGUUUCUUCUACUAUCUAGAAGUUGAAGCAGUUUGUCGUUGAAUUCAUUAAAUUGCAAUCUCGUCUCCGUCCAG
rnacentral:misc_RNA from 1 species